GAAAACUGCUGCAAGUAUUCUCCUCCCACUGACUAGCCAAAGAAUUCUGCAGUAGAAAUUUUCUGACAUUCAAAUAUGCUCUUCAACUUUUGUUCCUUCCUUUCCUGUGCUGUGCCUGUGUUCUUUUUCACAUACAAGUAUCACCAGGUUUGGCAUUAUAAGCUACUUCCUCAUUGCUGCAUUGCUAAUUUGCCUGAACCUGGAAGAGACACUGUUGAGGACAACAGGACAUUUCUGCCUUCAUGCCAAUUUCCUGUCCCUGGGCUGAUAACCGAGUCUGCCAACACCAACUGGGAGGUGUCUUGUUCUUGUGGACCACUUGAGAUUAAACUAAAAUCUCAAACUUUCACUAGAGCACCCAAAGAAUUGUCAAAUGUGUUUUGGUGGCUCUCAACCUAGAUGACUUUAAGAUUCAAGAAACUAGAAUCAAGAUAUGCCCUCAUAAAGAGAAGACGAGCCAAAAGAAAUCUUCCCUGCUAAAUGAUAACAUUUUGUAGAAUGAAUUGUUAGCACUAAGGAAAAGUGCUUAGGAUUUAAAAUGGUCUUUCAUGUUUAUAAUACAACACAACUUAAGGGAAUGACAUGAUGCAAAGUGACACAUACAGUGCUGUGCAGAGUGCAUCACUUUGUGCAAAAUGGCUCCUUCGGGCUAGGAUGAAAGCUUCAUCUUUGUGAACAUCAUAAGCUGCAACAUCUGCUCAAAACUGUGGCAAAAAUGAUGUUAUUAGUUUUUACAGAAGGAAAUUCCUACCACCCAUAUGAAUUAUUUUGGUGAUUAUAUUCUCUCUCUUGAUGUGGAGGAUUUAAUGAGUGAUAAAAUGUCAUGUCAGUAACAAGUUUGAUAUUGCUACUUUUUAUGUAUGGGAGGACAAUUUUUUUUAACUUGCACCAUGGAUCCUAUUUUCUCAGCUUUUUGAAGCAAAUUAAGAUUUUGCAAUUACUGAAAGCUCUCUUCCCUCUCACCCCCAUCAAUUGUUUUUGUACCAGUUUUUGAAGGACCAACUGAUACUUCUUUAAAUGUCACAAUCAAACAGCUUCUGAUAAAA
rnacentral:lncRNA from 1 species